CGUAUGCAAUCUACCUUUUACAGAGGGAUAGCCCAGAGAAAUUUGGAUUAAUACCUCAUAGUAUAUCACAAUCGCAUGAUUGAGUUAUUAAAGUCACAACGGUAAAAGAUGAGCAUGCGUCCCAUUAGCUAGUUGGUAAGGUAACGGCUUACCAAGGCUACGAUGGGUAGGGGUCCUGAGAGGGAGAUCCCCCACACUGGUACUGAGACACGGUCAAAACUUAUACGGGAGGCAGCAGUGAGGAAUAUUGGACAAUGGGCGCAAGCCUGAUCCAGCCAUGCCGCGUGCAGGAUGACGGUCCUAUGGAUUGUAAACUGCUUUUAUACGAGAAGAAACACUGCUUCGUGAAGCAGCUUGACGGUAUCGUAAGAAUAAGGAUCGGCUAACUCCGUGCCAGCAGCCGCGAUAAUACGGAGGAUCCAAGCGUUAUCCGGAAUCAUUGGGUUUAAAGGGUCCGUAGGCGGUUUGAUAAGUCAGUGGUGAAAGCCCAUCGCUCAACGGUGGAACGGCCAUUGAUACUGCCAGACUUGAAUUAUUAGGAAGUAACUAGAAUAUGUAGUGUAGCGUUGAAAUGCUUAGAGAUUACAUGGAAUACCAAUUGCGAAGGCAGNUUACUACUAAUUGAUUGACGCUUAUGGACGAAAGC
rnacentral:rRNA from 1 species